AGAAUGUCAAUAUUGUUGUGGAAGAAGAAAAAGCAGUGUCUUACUAAAGAAUAUCGAUUUUUUUCAAAAAACUAGGAAAAAGAACAUGAUGAAAACUAGACACUGACAGGAUUGUAUGAGUCUUUAUAAACCUCAUAAGAAGCACAGGCAAAAAUGAACAUUUUGUUUUGAAGCUGUCAUCAUCAAGGAAAAUGUUAGAACUCUUUUACCCUACUAUGGCUUCAAGAUGAUCACCUACUGAAGAUAAGAAGUCUGCCCAUAGAUCGUCUUACCAUUUCAACUCUACUGCCACGUUUUUCAACUAUGUCACUGCAUGUUGAAUUCUUUCAACCUCAAAAAAAUAA
rnacentral:lncRNA from 1 species